rnacentral:lncRNA from 1 species
GAUAAUUUGACUACAGAAAUUUUGACGGAGUGCAAGAAUCCAAAGCAAAAGUUGUUGGGGUAAUUGACGACGUUAGCGACCAGCGCUGCAUCAUCCGCAUUUUCAUUCUCUGAACAAAGAUGUGGCCGAGGAGACCUGACAGCUUGACGAAUCUGCAUUUUUAUCUAUGGGCCAGAUCAAUCUUUCUGUCUAACGUUAGACUCGAGGAUCAUCCAUCAUCUCAUUAACGUCGAUAUCUGAGCGCAAACUGGACAAUAUUAUAAUAAAACAUCCAUCAACGUUGGCAAAUUGGAAGUUUCUUGUCCGGAUAACGAAUAACGAUUCAUCAAUUGCAAGGCACCUCUGUACCUGCUUAAAAAAAGUUUCUUCCGCUUGCAUGCCAUCCGAUUGAAAACGGUAAGAAGAAGUCGUAAAAGAUUUCCACAUUGUCUGAUUACAAUGGCGAGAUUUCUCAACCGCACAAAAAAGAGAUGGAAGAUCAAAGGACCAGAUUAGUAACUUAGAAUCGAGCUGAGGAAGUGAUUGAUAGUUUCAAAAUUACAUCCAGGAUGCAUCGCUCUCGAAACGUUGGCCGAAUAACUUUCUUCAUUUGAAUAGCUUUACCCUCGUAGUUACGCCUUCCUAUGGUUCUCCGUAAACGUGAACAGGAACACGUGGAUGUUUGAACUUUGUGCUGUACGCGAUCUACGAGAUAAGUAUAGUGAUCUACUAAGAUCACAGAUUGUGUUAUCUACUCAAUUAAAAUCAUGAUGAACGUGAAAUCCGUUUUCUAUUCUUAUUACAGCAUGUGAGAGUCAGCCCAUCUGGUAAUUAGUCACUGCGAAUCAUGUGAAGUCCAUGAAUCGAAGGCUACAAAUAUACAAAUAAUAAGUCGAAGAAACUUGAAAAUUAUAUUAGGAACGAGUCGAAGAUCCUGAUUUGUCACUUUUUCCAAUUAUACAUACACGGACUCUGAAAUUGGGGUGUGAAAGUUGAGGAUCCGAGUAAGAGCUAAAACAACGUCAUCCACAUACUGUUUUAGUAGACGUCCUAGAAUCUCUCGUCCAAAGGAAAGGUGAGGGUCACUGGAUGGUAUACCUAGCGAGCCUGGGGAUGGUUUCCAGUGAAAAUGUUGGACGUAGGCCAUGAUAAAUUGCCGAGUUCACACAGAAGCGUUGUUUAGUCCAGACUAAGUCUUGGUCCUAGUCGUGGCACUUAAACUACACAUCGCGGGUGGCAACGGUUACGGCUUGGUUCGUCGGGCGUUUCGGUGAAUACAUACGGUACUCGAGAGGUCAGAACACAAGCACGUCAUUUCGGCUCACACCGGGAUAUUACUGCGAGGAGCUAACUUUGAACGGGUUUGCAGUCACCCUUCACAACGUCAGUAUCCUCAUUGUACUCUGCUGCAGCAAGGUUGGCUCAAAGGGGAGCCCCUCAGGCGUCCGGGUUAGCUUCAAUUAUUUUUCCACAUUUUUCGAGACUCCGAUCAAAUGAGUAUGGAGUGAACCGAAAGACAUUGGAUUCAUGAAAGUUACAUGUAGCUUGAGAAAAAAAUCUAAUAAAACAGAGAAAGAGGGAGAUGGAUUAAAGGUUAAUUAACUAUCAUACAUCAGUGCAUGUAUGAAGUAAAUGAAAUAUUAUAUAUCCAGCUUCGUUGCUAAACCUGCAGGAGCAGUGCAAGGACGGAAUUAAUUACACCUGCCUCCUCAACGAUUCGUAUGCAUUUCCAUUUCAUUGCACACCCACAUAUGACCAUACCAGGGUACGUACUAGAUGCUUAUAAACGCAAGAUACUGUAGCAUGCAGCUCUGAACCGCAGUCUGAACUCUUGCUCACAGCUCUCGCGCAGAGCUUGCAGAUUAUCCUGCGGGAACGUGGAGCCUGGGGUUUCGUACAUACGAGCAUUGGUCCACUCACUCGUGCUAACUCAUGUUGCAGUAUCAGAGGCUAACAGCAGCCAUGUCUCAGUGGAUAUAACGAGAAAUCGUCUACUCAACGGAGGCAACUUUUGUUCCGUGCAAAAGGGUGCGACGAGUCUUGAACACUGUGCUAACGAUUUGUUAUCAUAUGCAACUUCGUUUGACACCCCCACAUCUUCUGGUUAUUGGCUCACGUACGAAGGUAUUUUAAAGUACUCUCGGUUCAUUCAGAGCCGAAUGGAUACAUUCGUUUAUAGCUUUUUUAGUGAAUCAUACAAAUGAAAAUAAUAUAAAGCACCAUCUGGUAUAUGAUCGUCGAAAAACAAAACGUGCCUGGGUCCUUUAGAAUAGUGGAAAAGCACGUUAUCACCGAAGCCUAGCAAGAACAUCACAAGUCUUUCUUGACUCGCCUCGCCUAUAACGAAUUAGCAUAAGAAAAAGAACAGCAGCUUCAGUCCGGGGAUAGCCUUGGAAUAAUUGAACGUGGAAGGCUAGUCACGAGUCAACGAAGCAACACAAUACUCCAUAAUAUUCCGACUGACGAGAUGCAUUCUCAUUUCGUUAGUCGUUUUCCGUUUUCACUGCAUGCACCACGCAUAUUCAACUUAGCCACUGGAAUAUCUGCGUCUGAAUAGGAGCUAUUAGAUAGUAUUGUUAAUUCAUCGCGCCACUCUGACAUUUCAUUUGCUUUGGUACAAUGGAACCCUAGCAGUCCAGCAAGUGUGAUGAAGGACCUGCAUUUAUUACGACGUUCGGGGACCUUGGACUUCCUGGGUAGACUGUUCUCGGCUAAUUCAUCGUCGACAAGAAACUGCGUGUUCAGGACCAUUAUUAUGGAAUACAACGCUGGUGAAACCCUUCGAAGAGAGGACGUUAAAACGGUGCUAGUGUCUGAAGUAUCAUUGCUUUUUUUCCAAUGUUUGUACAAGCUCUGUUAUCGUUAAUCGAUCUCCUGAGUACCGGAUGCCUUAGAAAAUUACCAACUGUCAUAACAUUCAAUAAAUCUACUACGAGUAACUCUACUAAGCUGGAAAGAAUUGGAAGUGCAAUGAACCAAGCAAAUACGGAUAAUUUUGUUCCGACAGCUUACAAGCCAUUUAUAAUAGUAGUCAGAAAUAUCUAUUUCUCGAGGAUCCAUCUUAAAGUUACAAAUAGUAAUACGUAGAAACUUGCCUCGGAGUGACAGAACUGGAAAAACUCCUGUACUAUUUCUGCGGUACUACAUUCGUUCAUCUACCAAAAAUAAAGGAAAGAACUGUCACUCCCUUUCUAAUACGAAGUUAUUGUCGGUUCGUGGAGCUGGAUCGCCAAGAGCGAAAUAGCUCUAGAUGAAGUAUGGCUUCGACGACAGCGUACUAUAUAUUUCCAGCACAUAUCCGCCGACCUUCUUCGUUGCGCUCACUCGAUUUUCCUACCCUUUUCUCACAUUUUCGUUCUCUCCCGGAUAAAGUACACGUAGGAAGAGCAGUUGACGCGGCAAGCUAUCUCGACAAGAUUCUUUUCCUUGCUUCCUUUUAUUUUCUAUUUUCUACCUCGUUCUUGAAGUUUUACGUUAUAGAUGCCUGCGUUCUCGAGAUAUUGAGGAUUUAAAAAUAGAUGGAUGAUUCUGCAUACGUAUUGUUCAUGUAUCAAUGUUUUAUGCACCGAAAUACAUGUCACUGGGGGAAUGAACGGGUCAAAACA